GAAUUCCCCCCAAAAUGCCCUGAAAAUUUCGAUAUUUCCCCUCAAAAUUCCCGGAAUCCCACCCAAAAUUUCCAUAUUUCACCCCAAAAUUGCUGGAAUUCUGGAGAUUUUGGGGAUUUUGAGGGUUUUGGGGGCCCCGCCCCAAUGGAAGGGUGACGGUGACGAGGGGCAAUGUCCCCAAAUGUCCCAAAACGUCCCAAAUUUCCCCAAAUAUCCCAAAUAUCCCCGAAUCCCCUCGAUGUCCCAAAUGUCUCAAAUAUGCCCAAAUAUUCCAAAUGUCCCCGAGUGUCCCCAAAUCCCCCCAAAUGUCCCCAAUGUCCCAAAUAGCCAAAAUACGCCCAAAUGUCCCCAAAUCCCCCCAAUGUCCCCAAAACCCCCCAACCCCCUGAAUUUCCCAAAUCCCCCCCAAUGUCCCCAAAUCCCCCCAAAUCCUCCAAAUGUCCCCAAUGUCCCCUCGAUGUCCCCAACGUCCCCAGUGUCCCAAAUGUCCCCAAAUCACCUCAAUGUCCCCAAUGUUCCAAAUAUCCAAAAUACGCCCAAAUGUCCCAAAAUCCCCCAAAUGUCCCCAACGUCCCCAAAUCCCCCAACGUCCCCAAUGUCCCCAACGUCCCCAAAUCCUCUCAAUGUCCCCAGGAUGUUGCAGGUGCCCACCUGGAACCUGGCGCUGCUGGGUGCCCGAUGUCCCCAAUGUCCCCAAAUCCCCCCAAAUUUCCCAAAUUCCCCAAAUGUCCCAAAUCCCCCCAAUGUCCCCAAUGUCCCCAAUCCCCCAAAUCCUCCAAAUCCCCCAAAUCCCCCAAAUGUCCCCAGCAUCCCCAAUGUCCCCAACGUCCCCAAAUCCCCCCAAUGUCCCCAAUCCCCCAAAUGUCCCCAAUGUCCCCAAUGUCCCCAGGGUGGUGCAGGUGCCCACCUGGAAGCUGGCGCUGCUGGGUACCCGAUGUCCCCAAAUGUCCCCAAAUCCCCCCAAAUGUCCCAAAUCCCCUCAAUGUCCCCAAUGUCCCCAGUCCCCCAAAUCCUCCAAAUCUCCCAAAUCCCCCCAAUGUCCCCAACGUCCCCAAAUCCCUCCAGUGUCCCCAACGUCCCCAACGUCCCCAGGAUGGCGCAGGUGCCCCCCUGGAAGCUGGCGCUGCUGGGUGCCCGAUGUCGCAAAUCCCCCAAAUGUCCCCAAAUUUCCCAAAUCCCCCCAAUGUCCCAAAUUCCCCAAAUCCCCCCAAUGUCCCCAAUGUCCCCAAUCCCCCCAAUGUCCCAAAUGUCCCCAAUCCCCCAAAUGUCCCCAACGUCCCCAACGUCCCCAGGAUGGCGCAGGUGCCCCCCUGGAAGCUGGCGCUGCUGGAGCGGCGCCGCCGGGAGGACGAGGCGGCGCGGCGCCGGGAGCGGGAGCAGCGCGAGCGCCAGGCCCAGGUGCCCACCUGGAAACGGGAGCUGCUGCAGCGGCGCCGCGCCCGGGCGGGGCCGGGGGGCAC
rnacentral:lncRNA from 1 species